UACCCCUAGCAAAUCUCAAAAAACCGUCUCAGUUCGGAUUGUGCUCUGCAACUCGAGCACAUGAAGUUGGAAUCGCUAGUAAUCGCAGAUCAGCACGCAGCGGUGAAUACGUUCCCGGGCCUUGUACACACCGCCCGUCACACCAUGGGAGUUGGCUUUACCUGAAGACGGUGCGCUAACCGCAAGGAGGCAGCCGGCCACGGUAGGGUCAGCGACUGGGGUGAAG
rnacentral:rRNA from 1 species